UAGUCCACGCCGUAAACGAUGACAACUAGCCGUUGGGACCCUUGAGGUUUUGGUGGCGAAGCUAACGCGAUAAGUUGUCCGCCUGGGGAGUACGGCCGCAAGGCUAAAACUCAAAUGAAUUGACGGGGGCCCGCACAAGCGGUGGAGCAUGUUGUUUAAUUCGAUGCAACGCGAAGAACCUUACCACCCCUUGACAUCCUGCGAAUUUUCUAGAGAUAGAUUAGUGCCUUCGGGAACGCAGUGACAGGUGCUGCAUGGCUGUCGUCAGCUCGUGUCGUGAGAUGUUGGGUUAAGUCCCGUAACGAGCGCAACCCUUGUCCUUAUUUGCCAGCACAUUAUGGUGGGAACUCUAAGGAGACUGCCGGUGACAAACCGGAGGGAGGUGGGGACGACGUCAAGUCAUCAUGGCCCUUACGGGGUGGGCUACAAACGUGCUACAAUGGUCGGUACAAAGGGCUGCAAACCAGCAAUGGUGAGCGAACCCCAAAAAACCAAUACGUAGUCCGGAUUGGGGUCUGCAACUCGACCCCA
rnacentral:rRNA from 1 species